CUUCUAAAAAUACUCCUUUUAUCCCAGUCACGAAACAUCCAACCAAAAUUUAUGCUUCCCAGAUUCCCUUGCAGCAAGUACGGACCUGUAGCUAGGUUCUGACAAAUAGAGUGUAAACUGAAC